rnacentral:rRNA from 1 species
UACGUAGGGUGCGAGCGUUAAUCGGAAUUACUGGGCGUAAAGCGUGUGCAGGCGGUUCUGAAAGUCAGCUGUGAAAGCCCCGGGCUUAACCUGGGAACUGCGGUUGAAACUACAGGACUAGAAUCUGGCAGAGGGGGGUGGAAUUCCACGUGUAGCAGUGAAAUGCGUAGAGAUCGGGAGGAACACCAGUGGCGAAGGCGGCUUGCUGGGCCGGACCUGACGCUGAGACGCGAAGGCGUGGGGAGCGAACGGG